GGCAUGACGUAAAACAGCGAAGCAAAUAAUUCAACUGUAUUUAUAACUUAUAUAGGACAAUGCUGUUGAUUAAAAAAUACUCCAUUCCAGGACCUUUUGUUUUCCAAAUAAUUAAUAUUAUUGUUUCAGUUCGACGGGUUCAAACAGAAAGACUUGAAAGCAGAGAAAAACUGUGUAUCUUAUAAUCGGCAUGACUUUAUCAGAUGACAAUACUAAUACUAAAAUAAGGCUUGCGCAUACUCCAUUCCAGGACCUUUUGUUUUCCAAAUAAUUAAUAUUAUUGUUUCAGUUCGACGGGUUCAAACAGAAAGACUUGAAAGCAGAGAAAAACUGUGUAUCUUAUAAUCGGCAUGACUUUAUCAGAUGACAAUACUAAUACUAAAAUAAGGCUUGCGCAUAGUUAUAUACUAUAAUUCAGUCACGUACCCGUG
rnacentral:lncRNA from 1 species